CAAAAUAAUGUAUUGAGGUAUUUUCUCCUUUUCUGAACUAGAAAGUUGAGGUUGUGGUGUAAAAGUUGAGGCCUUUCUCCACUCUUUUAACCGCCGCCACCACGCUCACUAUCGCCUUCGCUCUCACGCACCAUGGCCGCCGUAUGCUGCUUUCAGUUGAAGAUCAACCCCACCUCAUCCACAUACAAGCCUCAAACCCACCUGAGAUUCAACCCAUCCACAUUCGCACUACCAUCAUCCUCUUAUUCUAAAUCCGGGGACCCCCAACCCAUAUACUCCUCCGUCAAAUCUUUUGCCCCCGCCACAGUGGCCAAUCUGGGACCAGGCUUCGACUUCCUGGGCUGCGCCGUCGACGGAAUCGGCGACUACGUCAGCCUCCAAAUCGACCCGGAAGUCCACCCGGGAGAGGUCUCCAUCUCCCACAUCUCUGGCGCGAGCUCCAAGCUUAGCAAGAAUCCCCUCUGGAAUUGUGCCGGCAUCGCCGCCAUCGCCGUCAUGAAGAUGUUGAAGGUCCGAUCGGUAGGUCUCUCACUCUCCCUUGAGAAAGGUCUCCCUCUCGGCAGUGGUCUUGGCUCCAGCGCCGCAAGCGCUGCCGCAGCCGCCGUUGCUGUCAACGAGUUAUUUGGAGGCCCUUUGUCACCGUCUGAGCUCGUGAUCGCGGGCCUUGAGUCGGAAGCAAAGGUCUCUGGCUACCACGCGGACAAUGUGGCGCCAUCUAUAAUGGGAGGUUUUGUCUUAAUUCGUAGCUACGAUCCUCUCGAACUGAUACAGCUGAAGUUCCCCCGUGAAAGGAAUCUAUUCUUUGUACUGGUGAAUCCAGAAUUUGAAGCUCCCACCAAGAAGAUGAGGGCGGCAUUGCCACCAGAGAUCACGAUGUCUCACCACGUGUGGAAUAGCAGCCAAGCAGGGGCUUUAGUGGCAUCAGUGUUGCUAGGGGACCUCAAUGGCUUGGGAAAAGCACUGUCAUCAGAUAAGAUAGUGGAGCCUAGGAGGGCUCCUUUGAUCCCAGGCAUGGGUGCCGUCAAAAAAGCAGCUAUUGAUGCGGGGGCAUUUGGAUGCACGAUAAGUGGGGCUGGGCCAACUGCAGUGGCGGUGACAGACAAUGAGGAGAGAGGUCGGGAAAUUGGGGAGAGAAUGGUGGAGGCCUUUAUGAAGGAAGGAAAUUUGAAGUCCUUGGCAAUGGUCAAGCAACUUGACAGAGUUGGGGCUAGGCUUGUCAGCAGUGUUCUCAGAUGAUUUAACUUCAUGAUGUUUCCUGUUUGGAGGUUCCACUCACAGCCUUUGCAUUUGAUCAGCAAUGUUGGAUAUAUGAGUUCAUGCCCUAACUGCAAUUGGUUUGAAGUUGUGUAGAGUUGCAGGACAAUGCUUCUUUUUCAUUGUAGUUUCUUAGAGUGCACUCAUUUACUUGGUCGUUGAGAAUUCUUGCCUGUUUGAGCAAACCAUUUUAAAAGUAAUGGUGGAGAAGUGAUUUGCAAUCAAUAAAUGGCUAUAUACCUGUCUUUUGCCAAUGUAGUUGAAACAUAUAAUCUUGCCCACAUAUAUAUAUUUCUUUUGGUUUGAAGAGAAUAAUUAGGUGCUUGAUAUAGUUGUAGCCCCAAUGCAUUUGUUAUAUUGUUUUGUUUGGACAAGAGUGGAAUUUACUGUUCUUUAGGAACAGCAAUCUGCUUCUUGUAGCUGCCUUUCCUUAGGGUCUGACUUUUUUUGGUAUCGAAAAUAAAUUAUACUAAGAAAAAAGAGAGGUUAGGAGGAUAUAAAGUCCUCUCACCCAUUGGAAUCCAAUCUCUGUUUGAUGGGAAUGACAUUGGUAUUUGUUGUCUGUUUAUUGAUUAGGUAAUAAUCGUUGACCAUUAGGUAUCCCCAGUGGAUCAGCCAUAGCAGUCAUAAAUAAACCUGUCCUACGAAUAAUAUGGCUGCCGAAAGGUUCCAUGGUUAGCAAGACUGCUACAAACAUUUAAAAGCGGAAAUUUCAACUUGAGAGGUUUAUGCUUAGAUCCACUUUCAUGGAUGGCCUGAUUUAAUAGAAUCAGACAUGAGAUACCCACAGGUGAAUUUGUUUCUUGCCCACUUUCAUUAAUACAGACUAAGCUGUUAAUAUAUUUUAAAAUGUAAUGGAUUGUGCUCAGGACAAUAUCUAUUCUCUAGCUAGAGUGAAGAUGAUGCUAUGUUGCUCCAGGUCUGAAUCCAAAGGUUUCCAUAAGACUUGGAAUAAGCCAGCAUGAUCCUCCUCUAAUGCCUUACAUUCUCAAGCCUUCUCCUUCUCAUCGGCCGAAGAAUGGUAAAUAUCCUUCACUUCAUUAAGCCUCCUUGGUUGUUAUUCAAAAGAGGUAAUUAGGGUACUCGUCUACAAAUGUUUUUGGUUAUACUGCUACGGAAAAUGUAGAGUGUUUUUUAUGAUGUCUUCUUCACAAUGUUUUAAAAAGCCAAUGCAGUCUGAUGCAAGGCAUUGCAGAAUGUUCUAGUACAUGGCAACAACAAAGGUUGGUGGGCUGCAUGCUAGGGCAUUCAGGCAUAUAUUUUCCGUUCCAAAACACCUCAACUCAUUGAACAUAUGCUAGAAGUUCUCUAUCAACCUUGGGAUGCCUAGAUACCACCUAUGAUCUUCAGAGAUGAAACUCCUUGAUAUUGGUGAUCUCAAUCUUGUGCCUUGUGGAUCAACUAUCUGUAUGGAAACUGCACCUUUAACUGCCAGCAUGGCCCAGAUCAAUGCUUAUUGAACACUGUGGAGGCAUGUGCCAUUGAUGUCUGGCCAGAUGUGACGAUCAAGUUCCUUGAAGAAUUAAGUACUAUAUUACAAUGAAGCAACAGGAAACUGCAAGGAAGAUAUCUGUCUGAAACUUGUUGAAAGACUUUUUUCAGAUGAGUUGGUUCCCGGGUUCAAGAACACUUUAUUGGAACGGCAGAACUUGUACAGAUGAAAUUGUGAUGUCAUUGUGUUCUGAUAUUCCUUCUUCUUAUGCUGAGCAUGAAUAAACCGAAGCUAUUUUGGCUCUCAGCUGGAGCCCAUCUACUUUCUCUUAUCCUGUCAACUCAGCUGGUUUUUGCCUUCAAAGCUCAACAUCAUGGCAUCAGUGUGGUGUGUUCCUAGACUCCAUUAAAGAAAUUACAGUUUGGAGGACUUUUGUUGCAUCGAAGAUGUACCGGGUGGAUGGAAAAAAGGAGAUGAAAGCUAUUGGACUAAUCAAUAGUUGGCUCAUCCACUGCUGUAUGAGAACAGCUGUGAAUCACAAUGCAAGUUGCCGAUACUGCAGUUUAUAACAUAGCAAAGGCAAUGACAAUCAUGGUGCUCUUCGGAGCUCUCUUCAUCUCUGUCCAGGAGGGCCUAGCCAUUGCUGUAAAUUAUCUCAUUCUUUACUAUCACUGCAUCCCUCUCUCGAAUGAUAAUUCAAGCUAAAAGUUAUGACCAUAAUGUCCAUGAGGGAAUAUCCUUUUCAAUGUUCUGCUGCAAAUCACAGGGCCUAAAACUGUGAUGUUGGGAAAUGUACCUGGUACUGAAUUUAUCCCAAUCUAAACCAAUACAAAGAAGCUGGCAGUGUCCCUGGAUCCCUAAUUCUGAUCAUUGAAGCUCCAAUUAACUUUCUAAUACCACUUAUCAUAAGGAAAGGUUGGUUGCUGAAUCCUACUCAGGUCGACGUCUCGAGAACUUUUUACCAUCUUACAUGACUUUCACAUAUGUGCUGUAUGUCCGGAUUACAAGAUGCAUAGAAGAAUAUGGAACAGAUGAUGCAGAUGCUAAAAACAAGUCUGGGAGUUGCGUUUGUGAUUCUUGAUUCAUCUGCUGUGAAUGCAAUUGAUCUAAAUGGAGUCUCAUUCUGCCAAGAUUUGAAGAUGACAUUGGAAAAGAAGAGGGAAUGGAAGGUACAUACUGAGGCCUCUCGAUACACAUGAUCGAUUAUGUUAAUCAGUAAGAUCACAUUGUGGUGAUCACUGGUUCACGGGUUUCGGCUUAUAGAUGCUCCUUGUUUUAUAUCAUAUAUGCCGAUUAGUUUUGGAGGCACAUCAUGUCCUUAAAAGAUUAUCACCGGUUCAUGAAAAUCACACAUUCUUUCUCUCCCCA